rnacentral:misc_RNA from 1 species
GAUGAAGAACGCAGCGAAAUGCGAUACGUAAUGUGAAUUGCAGAAUUCAGUGAAUCAUCGAGUCUUUGAUCGCACAUUGCGCCCCCUGGUAUUCCGGGGGGCAUGCCUGUCCGAGCGUCAUUGCUGCCCUCAAGCACGGCUUGUGUGUUGGGCCUCCGUCCUCCUCCCGGGGGACGGGCCCGAAAGGCAGCGGCGGCACCGCGUCCGGUCCUCGAGCGUAUGGGGCUUCGUCACCCGCUCUUGUAGGCCCGGCCGGCGCUUGCCGACACAUCAAUCUUUUUUCCAGGUUGACCUCGGAUCAGGUAGGGAUACCCGCUGAACUUAAGCAUAUCAAUAAGCGGAGGA